rnacentral:snRNA from 2 species
AUACCUUUCUCGAUCUUUUGGCUAAGAUCAAGUAAAGUAUAUGUUUUUGUCAGUUUAAUAUUUGAUAUGUGGACUAUAUGUCCAUAAUGAUAUUAAAUUUUUUUUGGGAGGAUUCAUCAUAGUGGCUUGCCACUAGGGUCCUCGUGUGUUCCCCGGGUGUGGCGCACCCCAA